rnacentral:rRNA from 1 species
AGGACGAACGCUGGCGGCGUGCUUAACACAUGCAAGUCGAGCGGAAAGGCCCUUCGGGGUACUCGAGCGGCGAACGGGUGAGUAACACGUGAGCAACCUGCCCUUAGCUCCGGGAUAGCUCCGGGAAACCGGAAUUAAUACCGGAUAUGACCUAGGCCGACAUCGGCUGUGGUGGAAAGUUUUUCGGCUGGGGAUGGACUCGCGGCCUAUCAGCUUGUUGGUGGGGUAAUGGCCUACCAAGGCGACGACGGGUAGCCGGCCUGAGAGGGCGACCGGCCACACUGGGACUGAGACACGGCCCAGACUCCUACGGGAGGCAGCAGUGGGAAUCUUGCGCAAUGGGCGAAAGCCUGACGCAGCGACGCCGCGUGGGGGAUGAAGGCCUUCGGGUUGUAAACCCCUUUCAGCAGGGACGAAGCGAAAGUGACGGUACCUGCAGAAGAAGCGCCGGCUAACUACGCGCCAGCAGCCGC